GACGAACGCUGGCGGCGUGCUUAACACAUGCAAGUCGAACGAAGUGGCGAACGGGUGAGUAACGCGUAAUCAACCUGCCCUUCAGAGGGGGACAACAGUUGGAAACGACUGCUAAUCCCGCAUACUGAAGGAGGUGAUUGCGUCUGAUAAGCUAGUUGGAGGGGUAACGGCCCACCAAGGCGAUGAUCAGUAGCCGGGCGGAGAGGGGGGACCGCCACAAUGGGACUGGGACACGGCCCAGACUCCUACGGGAGGGAGCAGUGGGGAAUCUUCCGAAAUGGACGAAAGUCUGACGGAGCAACGCCGCGUGAGUGAUGACGGCCUUCGGGUUGUAAAGCUCUGUUAAUCGGGACGCAGUACCGGAAUAGAAAGCCACGGCUAACUACGUGCCAGCCGCCGCGGUAAUAC
rnacentral:rRNA from 1 species